rnacentral:rRNA from 1 species
AUGAAUAUCUUAUCUUGGAACUGUCGGGGUUUCGCAUUGGCCUCAACAGUUGGAGAGUUGCGGGACCUUGUUCGGUCUCACAAUCCUGCGGUGGUAUUCCUUUGUGAAACUAAAAAGAAGUCUAGGGCGAUGGAACGGAUAUGGUGGAGUUUGGGCUUUCAGAAUGGGGUUGCGGUUGAUUGUGUGGGGCAAAGUGGAGGCUUAGCGUUGUGGUGGAGAGACCACGUUAGUGUCACUGUUCGCCCGUGGUGUCAAUACUUCAUAGAUGCUACUAUUGUUCAUGAGGGGAAAACCGUUAGAUUCACUGGUUCCUACGGUGAGCCAAGGACGGAGCUUCAGAAUAAAUCGUGGGAGGCGAUACGCUAUUUGAGAUCGCAGGACGACCUGCCCUAG